CGUUGAGCAGGUCCUGGUACUCCUGCAGGUGGCGGGCCAUCUCGUCCUUGAGGCUCUGCCCCUCCUCUUCCAGCCGGGCCAGCGCCUCCUGCGACUGCGGCCCGUGGACCGGGGACACAGAAGACACUGCUACGUCUCCAGCACCUAGCACAGUGCCUGGUCAGGGAAUGCAGGAAUGGAACAGUGUUCGCCACGGAAUCCAGAAUCUCCAGCACUGGCAGCUCCAUCCACGUGACUGAACCCUGUCCUCUUCCACCUUACACAGGGGAUUCUGGCUUCCAGUCCUGCCUGGUCCCAGUGCCCUCCCUUCUAUGAUAUCCUUCCUGUCCCCACAUUGUAUAUAAACUCUGCCCUGCUGUGUU